AGAAAGGAGGAGAGAAACCGAUUAUGUAAGAGCGGCACUGCCGUCAGCCGUCAGCCGCGGAGAGAGGGUCCCCGGGCAGCAGCACCCACUGCCUGCACCAGGGCCACCCUGCCCUGGCCUCGGGCUCCUCAGGGACACGGCUCCAGACAAUGAAUGACUUCAGAACAACCCAUGGCAGCCCCGGCCCAGGAGUGAGUUACAAUGACACCAGCUGGCAGGCUUGGGCCAGAACAAAAGCAGGACCAAGGAAUGAGCAGGCAGUGCGUGUUCACACAUCAGAGAGGCUUCCUGAAGGUGAGGCUGAGUUGGCUGGUGGCACGCCCAGCUCUGAGUUCAGUUCUGACUGAGUCCUGUUCCAUUUGGCCAGGGUACAUGGCCGCAGGUCGAUGGCAUCCGGGGGAACAGGUGGCCGUCCAGUUGUCUUUGAAAGGCUGUUGGUUCCCUCAUUGAAUGUCUCACACCCUUGUCAUAAUCAGCUGACCAUGAAUACACGAAUUUAUUCCUUGAUCUAUAUGUCUGUCCUGACGUCUGCCACAUUGUGUUGAUCUCUGCAGCUUUGUGGGCGGUGUUUGCAGCCGCUGCCGCCGCACCACCAUCGCUGUCCAAUGCCAGCGGCACCUCUAGCUCACGGAGCUCCAGCCGAAGAGGAGGGGUAAGUGAGGAGGUCUCUUUACCGUAUGAAGCAGACAGCCUGCAAAUCCACCUGUGGUUAAAGCACCCAGGAAGCAACUGGCUACAAAAGCCUCUCCCAAUAGUGCGCCCUCUACUGGAGGGGUGAAGAAACCUCAUCGUUACAGGCCAGGUACUGUGGUACUCCGUGAAAUUAGACGUUACCAGAACUUGAGAUUCGCAAACUUCCUUUCCAGCAUCUGGUGCGAGAAAUGGCUCAGGAUUUCAAAACAGAUCUGCGCUUCCAGAGCAGCUAUUGGUACUUUGCAGGAGGCACGGGAGGCCUACUUGGCUGGCCUUUUUGAAGAUACCAGCCUGUGUGCUAGCCAUGCCAAACGUGUAACAAUUAUGCCAAAAGACAUCCAGCUAGCACGCCACAUAUGUGGAGAACGUGCUUAAGAAUCCACUAUGAUGGAAAACAUCUCAUUCUCAAAAACAAAAUUUUUUUCUCUUCUUCCUGUUAUUGGUAGUUCUGAACUUUAGAUUUUUUUUUUCCUAUGGGGUCAAAAGGUACCUAAGUACAUGAUUGCGAGCGGAAAAUAGGGGACAGAAUCGGGUAUUGGCAGGUUUUCCAUUUUCAUUUGUGUGUGGAUUUUUAAUAUAAAUGCGGGGCUGUAAAGUAUUAAUGCACAUCAAAAUGUUUUGGUGAACAAGUUUCAGCAGUUUAACUUCAUAACGACUAUAAAUAAACCUGUUAAAUUUU